AUAACGGAGGAAAAGAAACCAACAGGGAUUGCCCUAGUAACGGCGAGUGAAGCGGCAACAGCUCAAAUUUGAAAUCUGGCUCCUUUGGGGUCCGAGUUGUAAUUUGCAGAGGGAGCUUUUGGCGUCGGUCGUGGUCUAAGUUCCUUGGAACAGGACGUCACAGAGGGUGAGAAUCCCGUACGUGGCCGCCGGCCUUCGCCUUGUAAAGCCCCUUCGACGAGUCGAGUUGUUUGGGAAUGCAGCUCUAAAUGGGAGGUAAAUUUCUUCUAAAGCUAAAUACCCGCCAGAGACCGAUAGCGCACAAGUAGAGUGAUCGAAAGAUGAAAAGCACUUUGGAAAGAGAGUGAAAAAGCACGUGAAAUUGUUGAAAGGGAAGCGCUUGCGGCCAGACGUGCCCGCGGUUGAUCAUCCAGGCUCCAGCCUGGUGCACUCCUCCGCGGGCAGGCCAGCAUCAGUUCGGGCGGUCGGAUAAAGGCCUCUAUCACGUACCACCCCUCGGGGUGGCCUUAUAGGGGAGGCGCAACACGGCCAGCCCGGACUGAGGUUCCGCGCAUCUGCUAGGAUGCUGGCGUAAUGGCAGCAAGCGGCCCGUCUUGAAACACGGACCAAGGAGUCUAACAUCUAUGCGAGUGUUUGGGUGUCAAGCCCGAGCGCGCAAUGAAAGUGAACGGAGGUGGGAACCCUUACCGGUGCACCAUCGACCGAUCCUGAUGUCUUCGGAUGGAUUUGAGUAAGAGCAUAGCUGUUGGGACCCGAAAGAUGGUGAACUAUGCCUGAAUAGGGUGAAGCCAGAGGAAACUCUGGUGGAGGCUCGCAGCGGUUCUGACGUGCAAAUCGAUCGUCAAAUUUGGGCA
rnacentral:rRNA from 1 species